UUUGAUAGUUGAAAUUAAACUAUGACGAAACUAGAAGCUACCUCGGCGUUGAUGGUUGAUUUGUCGAUUUCCAUUGAUCCAUAAGUGCAGUUAUGAUGGAUAUAAGCACAAACACAAGACCCAAGAUAAUUAAGUUCUUCAUUACAAGAAAUCUUGCUUGAUUCCCAUGACUAAUGACUUGUACUCAUUGAGCCUAGAAUUCUCUCUUUUAGCAAGUUGUGGAAUUUAAGUUCAUUGCUCUUAUAAUAAUAGCUAGAAAUAAAUAAAAGAGUUAAAUGUCAUUUUAGUCUCUGUGGUUUGGGACAUUUUGCCAGUUUAGUCCAAAGGUUUGAAACGUUACCAUUAUAGUCCAAAUAGUUUAAAACGUUGCCAUUUUAGUCCAUUAGGUUAACUUUAUCCCAUUUUUCUGUUAACGAGAAGGACAAUUCAAAAUCUUCACAUUCCUUUUUCAAAAUCGAAAAUAAAAGAUAAAUUAAUAACAUACCUUUCCUUUUCUCCCUUCACUUUCUUGCAUCUCCACAUUCUUUUUUUUUUUUUUUUUUUUCAUUUAGAUCUUAAAGAAUGCUACGUUUGAGUUUUAAAUAAUCGGUUGUUAAUUUAUUUUAUUAAGUUCUAUAAAAAUAGGUAGGACAGAAAUUUUGUUAGAUUAAUAUGAUAUGAUAUUGAUUCACAACUCUCCUAGUUUCCUUUUAAUAUUUGUUUAAAAUAAAAAUAAAAAAAUGGGUUUUAUUAAGUCAACACACUAGGGAAAAAAAAACAUGAAAAUAGAUACAAAGAAUGCAUAAAAAUAUAUACUUUUAGUUCAUUUUUUCUAAAUCUAUUUUAGCAACAUGAAAUACCAGAAUCUUUCGAGAUUUGUAACAGUUUACGUUACUAGAAAAUAGACUUUCAUCAAAGAAACAAUCAC
rnacentral:lncRNA from 1 species